CCAGCGUCACUCGUAUCUCUCUUUGUGCGAUGUUCGAUAAGAAAGAGUCUCACGAACAGCUCAACGUAAAACGCUAAACGGUAAACCGAAACGAAAAGAAACGAAGUCUGCUGUUCAUAGAGAGAACGAGGGUGCAUGCUCUUAUACCCGAUACUUAAAAUUAGUAUAGUGGUAUAUCCCAGCAAACUAACAAACAUGCCUUUUGCAUGUACGAUAUGGUUUUGUAUCGCAAAACUCACGCAAACGAGGUCGCAAGCGAGACAAAAAUAAGCUCUAAUUCUUGGGUCGCAAAACGCUCGCAAACGAGUGCGCAAGCGGGAGUUUUACAUUAGGAAAGUGCGCUGCGACUGUGCUGCCGGUCCGGCAAGCUUCCUUCGACAGAUUAGUGGUCGAGAAGUCAUUCGUGUUUUCUUUUGCUACAUGUGUCCAGCAUUAGAAACAAAUGCAAAUAAAGCGUGCGUUCCUUGCGCCGGCAUUUCAAUUAUUUUCGUCGAACUGUGCAGUGCAAAGUUAGAAAAUCUACAAUCUCUUACGCAUUUACUAGAAAUUUCUACCAAUAGAUCAAGGAAUUAAUCGCUAUCAAUGAAAAAACGUUUUAUAAGCUUAUAAGGAGCUCCUGGCGACAGAUUACAAGCAAUGAUGUGGCGAAGUUUUUCUCCUGGCGUGGGACAGAAUCCAAAAAGUGUGUAAGAGGACUUCGAACCACUUUAGCACUAAGAAGUGCAUUUAAACAGAAGCUUGCGCUCGAGGAUCAGGACUACGACCAUACAACUCAAAAAUAUUUCCAGUAUGCUCAGGAACGGAAG
rnacentral:sRNA from 1 species